rnacentral:rRNA from 1 species
UGGGGAAUAUUGCACAAUGGGCGCAAGCCUGAUGCAGCCAUGCCGCGUGUAUGAAGAAGGCCUUCGGGUUGUAAAGUACUUUCAGCGGGGAGGAAGGUGUUGUGGUUAAUAACCACAGCAAUUGACGUUACCCGCAGAAGAAGCACCGGCUAACUCCGUGCCAGCAGCCGCGGUAAUACGGAGGGUGCAAGCGUUAAUCGGAAUUACUGGGCGUAAAGCGCACGCAGGCGGUCUGUCAAGUCGGAUGUGAAAUCCCCGGGCUCAACCUGGGAACUGCAUCCGAAACUGGCAGGCUUGAGUCUUGUAGAGGAGGGUAGAAUUCCAGGUGUAGCGGUGAAAUGCGUAGAGAUCUGGAGGAAUACCGGUGGCGAAGGCGGCCCCCUGGACAAAGACUGACGCUCAGGUGCGAAAGCGUGGGGAGCAAACA